AUGGACGAAUAAAUCCAUCUGAAGAGAAGUGUUUAGUCACUCGAUAGAUCUCAUUAUCUUCCCUAUAUUUCAGAACGUAUAGUCCUUGUCACGUGUAAGCUCUUAUCUGUAAAAUUUUGGACACUUUAAUUUAACAAAAGUUCAAUUUUAUUAAUGGAUUGGUAGUUAAAAUAGUGGGGUUACUGUAUUUCGAGUCUAUUCUUUUUUCGGUUCGGAGGAUCGUGAUAAAAUGGAAACUUUUAUUCGCAGACACGAGAAUAUUAGAUUUGUCAAUUGAUAUUACUGUCAAGGCGAAUGUAUAUGCAAGGUAUGAUUUGCGAAAAUCUCUCUUCCGCGACAGGGAGGCGCAAAAGUCACGAAAUUCGGUGAAAAAUCCAAACGUUUUACAUUAAAUUUCGUGGCGAUUCAACAAUAAAACUGCGACAAUUUGUUGCGAGCGGUCGAUUAUUGUUAUUGCGAGCGGUUUGAUUUUUCUGUUCGUGCGUUUAAAAGUGAUUUAUUCGAAGCGUUUUCUGAGUUUUGCAUCAAUUGCAGCCAUUUUAUCGAAUGGAGAACUUCAAAGAACUAAAGAAGUGGAACGUUUCGGGCCAGGACCGAUCUGAGCCCGACGAUGACGCCUCGUCUUGGCAUGGUCUAAUACGAGUGCGUCCGAAGGAUGCGGAGGACGAGGCGCAUACACCCGACGUCAAACGGGUGGUCGUCGUGACCCCGGACGACAGCGCCUCGUCUCUCGUCCAUUAUCUGGAGAGGCGAUAUCCAGAAGUUGAGGGAUGGACGGUGGAGACGGCACAGGACCCAAAGGAGUCCGAAGAAGCCUUGGUCAAGCGCAAAAGGCCUUGGUGGAAAAGGUUCUUUUUCUGCUGCUAAAAGUAACACUCUUUCUGCCGAGCCUUUUUGCACUUUCCACCGAAUGUGACACAGCCACCCGGAAGUGACCUUUUCCCGACUAUGACACUUUUACCCGGAAUUGACUUUUCACCCGGCUACGACUUAAUCAACCGGACUUGACUUUCCAUCAUAAUUUACGGACGGAUACUUGGACAACAUUCGAGAUUCGUUCUUCCACUUCGGCCAAAGUGCAUAGAACAUCUACUGUGGCAAAGCUACACAAGCGGUGUUUAAACGACUAUAACUGGCCAAAACAAAUUAUAAUAUUUCUAGCGGUGUUCUACUAGUAAAACAUUUCAACACAGAACAAUGGGAGGAACCAUUUUCCACGUUGAACUUUAACAUUGCAGUGAAUAUAUGUCUAAAGCAAAACUAUAAAUUACUUCAACAGUUAAAAUUGUACAUGGAAUUUUCACCAUUGUAUAUAAAUUCUUGUACUUAAUAAAACUUAUUGAAUUCAAUACUAACA